rnacentral:rRNA from 1 species
UACGUAGGGUGCAAGCGUUGUCCGGAAUUAUUGGGCGUAAAGAGCUCGUAGGCGGUUUGUUGCGUCGGCUGUGAAAUCCCGAGGCUCAACCUCGGGUCUGCAGUCGAUACGAGCAAACUAGAGUGUUGCAGGGGAGACUGGAAUUCCUGGUGUAGCGGUGAAAUGCGUAGAUAUCCGGAGGAACACCAAUGGCGAAGGCAGUGUCCUGGGAAGUACCUGACGCUCAGGUGCGAAAGCUAGGGGAGCGAACAGG